GGAAGGAUCAUUACCGAAGCGGGGAUGCCUUGAUUGGCUCCUUCGUUUAGCAGCCGACGGCUGUUGCAUAUAAAGUCGGGUCAGUGUGGCUCGCACGUCUUGAUUGUGUACUGGUGUGUUUGGCUUCUUGAUUGGAGCUGCCAGUGAUCGGGCGUUUUUGAGAAAUCUUGGCGUGGUCGAUUGUAGUUUCCACCGGUGGCAGAGCGUGUCCGCCGGUGGGGUGCAUAAUCGAACGCGUCACGGGAUACCUACGGGUCUACAAGUCGAUGCUGACUGGCCGAUCUCUGCAUAACACACGCAAGGCCAGUCAGAGUUGUUCGCCGUAGACGGAGGAUCGCAGUGUCCGAGGUUGUAAAAUAGCUGCAGCGAGCGUCGCUGCCGAGCCGGAGCUGUCAAAAGCAGCAACGUGUCUCGCAUUGGCUAUCCCGCUGUGUUUGUUUCGGCAGACACGUUACUAUGUACAAGAGGUAUGAAAAUGUAGCGAGUGAGGUUUGCAAAAGCCGAACAAGCGAAAAUUAAACCGAUUGAAUCACUCUGUGCGGUGGAUCAUUCGGCUCGUGGGUCGAUGAAGAACGCAGCAAAAUGCGAGACGUAACGUGAAUUGCAGGACAUCGCGAACGUACAUUCUUCUAACGCACAUUGCGGCUUCGGGUUGACCGAAGCCACGCCUGGUUGAGGGUCAGUUGAAAAAACCUUCAUGGUUCCGCUUGAAUCAUGAAUUGUCUGCGUAGCGCACGGUAAAACGAGCGCUAGCAGAUCAAGUGCAGUCCGAAUGAAUGCUUGAUCAGUGGCACUUGCUGCGUACCGGCGUGGUACGAGAGUGAAUGUCGUUGAGUUGGUAGCAUAAUGGCGGUUAGAAGCCGAAGCCUUCUAAAUACACCGGCCUAGCCAACUCGCGAGUAUCAUCUCUCAAGCGGCUCGAGUCCCAGGCGCUCAGUUAGAGCAUUCGCGUAUUCAUAUGUAUGAAAAAUUCAUUCUUUUGACCUCAGCUCAGACGAGAUUACCCGCUGAACUUAAGCAUAUUACUAAGCGGAGGAAAAGAAACCAACGGGGAUUCCCAUAGUAACUGCGAGUGAAAUGGGAAGAGCCCAUCGCUGAAUCCGACUGCUGGCAACGGUGGUCGGAGCUGUAGCGUGAAGCUGGUUAUUAUCCACUUGACGUGCUAGUGUAAGUUCUCCUGAGUGAGACUCCAUGCUAGGAAGGGUGCAAGCCCCGUGUCACGAGCCGUUUAAGUGGAUACAAGCUAGCGAAGAGUCGCCUUGUUUGCGAGUACAAGGUGAAGUCGGUGGUAAACGCCAUCGAAGGCUAAAUAUGACCACGAGUCCGAUAGCGAACAAGUACAGUGAUGGAAAAUUGAAAAGAACUUUGAAGAGAGAGUGAAACAGUGCGUGAAACCGCUCAGAGGCAAGCAGAUGGGGCCUCGAAGGCAGAGCAGCGAAUUCAGUUGGUAGUCCGUGGCGAUGGCUGGUAUGUGAGAUUGCAAAACUCUGGCUGGCUAUUUAGCUGCGGCUGCUGAUGCACUUUCGUUGUUCGUACGCCUCCGCCGUUGACUGGCAUCCGCCUGACUUGCGCCGUGGAGCCUUUCUCCCGUUAAAAGGAGUCGGUGUCUCACUGCAGGUCGUGGCGCGUUUGCUGGUCAACCGGUCAAGUCAGCAUGUGCCAGCGUAAGCGUUGGGUCCGGUGCUCUUGUCGCGGCACGGUGGAUGACGAACGCAAGUUCGGCUCUGCCGUACGUGGCGGAAUCGCUAAGGCUUUCAACGUGGCACAUUGUAGAUUCGGAGGUGAGUAGACGGCUGCCCAUCUAACCCGUCUUGAAACACGGACCAAGGAGUUCAACAUGCACGCUAGUUGUUGGGUUACAUCCGAAACCCGCUAGCAAAGUGAAAGCAAGUCACAGCUCUGCUGUGUAUUUGGCGAGAUCCCGUCACUUGGGGGUGUCAAAAGCCCACAAGCCGGGCGCAUCGCCGGCCCAUCAUAAGCUCACGUGGCUGUGGUGGAGCUUGAGCGUGCGCGUUGAGACCCGAAAGAUGGUGAACUAUGCCUGGACAGGAUGAAGCCAGGGGAAACUCUGGUGGAGGUCCGUAGCGAUUCUGACGUGCAAAUCGAUCGUCUGAUCUGGGUAUAGGGGCGAAAGACUAAUCGAACCAUCUAGUAGCUGGUUCCCUC
rnacentral:misc_RNA from 1 species